AUUUGAGAAGCUUGGGGGAGAAGGAGGGGUGGGGACCCAGAGAGACAAAAGAUUCCUGCCUUGUGCCAAAGCUAUAAAAGGGUGUGGAACAGAACAAAAGGACGGCUAGUCAUGAGAACACCCCUAGUUUCCACUUAAGAUGUCUGCUGGAACUCACAAGGACUGUACCAGGGGAAAGGAUUGGGCCCAGACUAGGAAGGAGUCUAGUCUGUGAAAGAAGCUUAUUGGAACAUCUCUGAGAGUGAGA